UGACGCUGGGAAAGAAAGAGCAACAAAAGAGGAGCCAUGAGUGACUCACUGCGUGGCUAGACAUGAAAUGUGGAAAACACUCACUCCCAUCACCAUCUUUCACGAAGAGGGGAUAAAAAGGAAACUUACGCUACUACUUGAAAAAUUAACUGCUUAAUAUUCAACUGAAUUUCUAGGCAGUAAAAUUAAUGAAGAGUGGGACAAUUUCAAUAGAAAACCCCAUGGAGCUGGCACUUGAGGAGGGAGGCUGAUCCAUUACCUAAUGGAGUGUGUCUGAGAAUAGAGGUUUACUCUUCAGAAAACUGAGGAGAGGAUGAUGAAUCCAAUUGAAGAGGA